GGCCCGAGGAGGAGGAGGAUCCUAGGACCCAGAUACCGGUGCGGACUGAGGGACUGAUGGGAACCGGACCGCAUAAGACAUCAAAAGGAUGCGAAUGGAGCAAAGUGCAUGCUGUGCAUGCGCGGUCCAGCAGGUCACUGCGCAAGAGAACUCCAAUCUGAGGCACUGGGAUGACCCAACACCUACAAUGGAGCAUCCAUGGAGGGACACAUCUUGAAGAACCUUCGUUACUGCACCAAGGUAAUACUGAGAAGAAGAAUGAGUAUAAAUGCAGAGAAAAGAAGAGAAUGUUGAAAAAUGAAAUGGCAAGUAUACUGUAAAACUAAAGAAAAAGUUCAAAUUAUGUUUUUAUUACUACAAUCUGUGUGUGUGUGUGAUGUUAGUAUGUAUGUGUAUUGUCAGUCACCCAUUCAGAUAAUAGACAUCUUUCCUCUGCUUUCUGUCUUACAUUUUUCAUCCAGUUAGCAGUGGGACACUCUAGUUCUAUCUCCUUUUUCAGCUCAUUCUAAUGACUCCCAAGUUGUCUCUAGUUGCUUCUCCACAAAGAAACUAUUGCUUUUGAGGUACCAUUUCUUUCAACCCUUAGUGUAAUAUAAAAUCUAUUUUUACAUUGCUUUUCUGUGGCUAUUGGGAAUAGCUGUAGUCAGCCAUUGGAGGUGAGUGUUACAGGUUAUUUUGUGCAUAUGUAGUCAACCUCAUCUCACCUGCAAAAUAUACACAUGCAGAAAAGCAUAUUCUAACUAGCAGAAGAACUAUAGUGAGUAGAGAAUGAAAGGAAAUGUGUCCUCAACUGCUGAUUCCUGUAUCCAGCAGGAGCCUUUCUUACCCUAGUAGCCAUAAUUUGGGUCAGUCUGGAUUACCAGCCCCAAGUAUUCAGCUAUCAUGAGUCAAACCUCCUUUACUUCCAAAAUUAUAUUUUUAAAAUGUAGUAAAUUAAUCAUUUUGUCUGUUCUGCUUUUUAGCCCUUACAGGAGAACUAUCACCCACAAUUUUAUGUAUAAU